rnacentral:rRNA from 1 species
UUGAACGCUGGCGGCAGGCCUAACACAUGCAAGUCGAACGGUAACAGGAAGCAGCUUGCUGCUUUGCUGACGAGUGGCGGACGGGUGAGUAAUGUCUGGGAAACUGCCUGAUGGAGGGGGAUAACUACUGGAAACGGUAGCUAAUACCGCAUAACGUCGCAAGACCAAAGAGGGGGACCUUCGGGCCUCUUGCCAUCGGAUGUGCCCAGAUGGGAUUAGCUUGUUGGUGGGGUAACGGCUCACCAAGGCGACGAUCCCUAGCUGGUCUGAGAGGAUGACCAGCCACACUGGAACUGAGACACGGUCCAGACUCCUACGGGAGGCAGCAGUGGGGAAUAUUGCACAAUGGGCGCAAGCCUGAUGCAGCCAUGCCGCGUGUAUGAAGAAGGCCUUCGGGUUGUAAAGUACUUUCAGCGGGGAGGAAGGGAGUAAAGUUAAUACCUUUACUCAUUGACGUUACCCGCAGAAGAAGCACCGGCUAACUCCGUGCCAGCAGCCGCGGUAAUACGGAGGGUGCAAGCGUUAAUCGGAAUUACUGGGCGUAAAGCGCACGCAGGCGGUUUGUUAAGUCAGAUGUGAAAUCCCCGGGCUCAACCUGGGAACUGCAUCUGAUACUGGCAAGCUUGAGUCUCGUAGAGGGGGGUAGAAUUCCAGGUGUAGCGGUGAAAUGCGUAGAGAUCUGGAGGAAUACCGGUGGCGAAGGCGGCCCCCUGGACGAAGACUGACGCUCAGGUGCGAAAGCGUGGGGAGCAAACAGGAUUAGAUACCCUGGUAGUCCACGCCGUAAACGAUGUCGACUUGGAGGUUGUGCCCUUGAGGCGUGGCUUCCGGAGCUAACGCGUUAAGUCGACCGCCUGGGGAGUACGGCCGCAAGGUUAAAACUCAAAUGAAUUGACGGGGGCCCGCACAAGCGGUGGAGCAUGUGGUUUAAUUCGAUGCAACGCGAAGAACCUUACCUGGUCUUGACAUCCACAGAACUUUCCAGAGAUGGAUUGGUGCCUUCGGGAACUGUGAGACAGGUGCUGCAUGGCUGUCGUCAGCUCGUGUUGUGAAAUGUUGGGUUAAGUCCCGCAACGAGCGCAACCCUUAUGGUCAGUUACUACGCAAGAGGACUCUGGCCAGACUGCCGUUGACAAAACGGAGGAAGGUGGGGAUGACGUCAAAUCAUCAUGCCCUUUAUGACUUGGGCUACACACGUGCUACAAUGGCGCAUACAAAGAGAAGCGACCUCGCGAGAGCAAGCGGACCUCAUAAAGUGCGUCGUAGUCCGGAUUGGAGUCUGCAACUCGACUCCAUGAAGUCGGAAUCGCUAGUAAUCGUGGAUCAGAAUGCCACGGUGAAUACGUUCCCGGGCCUUGUACACACCGCCCGUCACACCAUGGGAGUGGGUUGCAAAAGAAGUAGGUAGCUUAACCUUCGGGAGGGCGCUUACCACUUUGUGAUUCAUGACUGGGGUG